rnacentral:rRNA from 3 species
GGACUACUGGGGUAUCUAAUCCCGUUUGCUCCCCUAGCUUUCGCGCCUCAGCGUCAGAAGAGGUCCAGCAGCUCGCUUUCGCCACCGGAGUUCCUUCCAAUAUCAACGCAUUUCACCGCUCCACUGGAAGUUCCAGCUGCCCCUACCUCCCUCCAGCUUCUCAGUAUCCAAGGCACUUUUCCGGUUAAGCCGAAAGAUUUCACCCCGGACUUGAGAAACCGCCUACGCGCCCUUUAAGCCCAGUGAAUCCGAACAACGUUCGCACGGUUCGUCUUACCGCGGCUGCUGGCAC